GACAGAGGGGGCAAGCGUUGCUCGGAAUCACUGGGCGUAAAGGGCGCGUAGGCGGGAUGGCAAGUCGGUCGUGAAAUCUCUCGGCUCAACCGAGAAACGUCGGCCGAUACUGCCGUUCUUGAGGGAUGCAGAGGAGACUGGAAUUCCCGGUGUAGCGGUGAAAUGUGUCAGAGAUCGGGGAGGAACACCGGUGGCGAAGG
rnacentral:rRNA from 1 species